rnacentral:rRNA from 1 species
GAUGAACGCUAGCUACAGGCUUAACACAUGCAAGUCGAGGGGAAACGACAUCGAAAGCUUGCUUUUGAUGGGCGUCGACCGGCGCACGGGUGAGUAACGCGUAUCCAACCUGCCCACCACUUGGGGAUAACCUUGCGAAAGUAAGACUAAUACCCAAUGAUAUCUCUAGAAGACAUCUGAAAGAGAUUAAAGAUUUAUCGGUGAUGGAUGGGGAUGCGUCUGAUUAGCUUGUUGGCGGGGUAACGGCCCACCAAGGCUACGAUCAGUAGGGGUUCUGAGAGGAAGGUCCCACACAUUGGAACUGUGACACGGUCCAAACUCCUACGGGAGUCAUCAGUGAUGAAUAUUGGUCAAUGGACGGGAGUCUGAACCAGCCAAGUAGCGUGCAGGAUGACGGCUCUAUGGGUUGUAAACUGCUUUUAUAAGGGAAUAAAGUGAGUCUCGUGAGACUUUUUGCAUGUACCCUAUGAAUAAGGACCGGCUAAUUCCGUGCCAGCCGCCGCGGUAA